UGGUGAACAGAGCAUUCUUCGGAGAGUUUUUGGACAGGCGAAACGAUUUCAGCCUGAUAAACCAUCCACGAAGGCUCAGGCUGCUGUUUCACUGACAAGUGGGAGAAUGGAAGAAUAUAUACAAAGUGAGCUGGCAAAACUUGAAGCAGAAAAUUUAUCGAGACUUAUGACAAUGGAAGAAAUAAAGUCUGACCUACUUGAUAGAGGAGAAAUACAAAGGAUUUGGGAGAGUAAUAUGGAAGUAGAAAGAAGUCGUGGUUUAGAGGAAGAAAGUGCUUAUCUGGCUUCUAUUGGAGAUUUAGAACAGGAAAAAAUUGUACAUGAGAAUGCUCGAGCUGAGCUUCUGAGGCAGAAGGCAGCUCUAGACUGUCAGAAGCAGCUACUUUCUAGUCUCAAGGAAGAGGUUGAUGAGAUGUCCGAAAAGCUUGCACGCGAGAAGUUUAAGCAUGUGGAUGAGCAGUGUGAUUUAAGUGGUAUGAUUCAUGAUUUGCAGGUUAAGCAUGAAGCUUUGCUUGACAAAAAAUCGAUGUUGGAAGCUGAGAUUGAAGCUUUGCGAAAACUGAGAUCAUGGGUAGAGGAUGAAGCAAGAAGAAGUCAAGCUCGUGCUAAAGUUCUCGAGGAGGUUGAACGAAGGUGGAG
rnacentral:misc_RNA from 1 species